CACCUCUGAUGCCUUACCCAUCAAAUCAAAACACUGGUCUGAGGGGUUGUUAAAGAAGGAAAAGUGAAAUCGAAACUGACUUACAUGCUUGUGUGACACAAGCGAAUUUCCAACAAAC
rnacentral:snoRNA from 1 species